rnacentral:lncRNA from 1 species
AUAGUCGACCUUAGAAUGGCUUUCACUGCUAGCCAUGGUGUUCUGUUAAGGAUUCAAUACAACUAGUCAAUGGGUGUGCUGACUUCGAAUUGAUCUUCCCAAACCUCGUAAUAGUAAUUAGUUUUGCUGGAAGACUUCUCUGAGCUGAUUAUAAAUUGUAGUUUUGUACAUGUUUAGUUUCACUUAUAAACAAUAGGAAGCUAAUUAGAGUACGAUGAGCUAAAAUCAGUAGUAAGUUUUGGGAUUAUGUUCAACUUUUGGACCAAGUAAUGUUCCAUUGAUUGAGCUUCCUGAAAUUUUGUUCACCCUUAACUUGAUCUCUUAGACUAAAUAGUUCCGAUUUUGAUUACAUCCCUAACCAUAUUUCAGUUAAUCUCUGUAGC